UCACUAUCUUCAAACUGGAAGCAGGCUGCACAGAGUAUCUCAUUCUGCCAGUUUGUUUACUUCCAAUUGAAUACAAUUUUUAAGUUAUUACUGUUAUCAGUAAAUAUGUUAAUUAAAGGAGGGGUUGCAGAAGAAGGAAGAGGAGAGGAGAUUGGCCCUGCUAGCAGAGGAUGAUGGUCCUAAGAAGAAAGCUCCCAGGACUGGGCUGAAUUCUGUAUUGCUGUUACAGGAGAGACAUUUGGGUCUGCUGCCCCCAAGCUUCUAUUGUGGGCUGAUCCAUGAAGUGAAAGUCUGUGGGAUGCAACAUCACAAGCUGGAGGUGCAGAGUGCCAUCUCCACCAGCCCAAACACAGACACCAUCCAUCUCAUAGCUGCAGAUUCAGCUUAUGAGCGAAUGUUCACUGUGAAUGGUGUCACACAGAGGCUGCAAGUAUUGCAUUAUGAACAUCCAUGGUUGCAGAAAAGGUUCUGUGUAUGUGUGAUAACCUUAACCAACUGCAAGGUGAAUUCUGUAUGCUGGGCCUCUGUGACACACUGACACUCACAUUCUGUAUCCUUCAUGCAUAUUGCAUUUUAGGGAACUGUCAAUUUUCUGUUAUGUUUUACUUUAUUAUUUGAAAUUGUAGAAUUGGUGUAUAGUUGUUUUAGUAAAUUAUAUGUAGCCCCUCACUGAAUCUUAGACAGCAGAAUUUUAACAUCCUUCAUUCACGAUUCUUAACAUUUCCCAAACCUAUUUUUUGUUUUUUAAAUGACUGAGUUUAAAUAAAUAUCUUUCAGCUACCAAUUAAAUCCAUUUCACAGAUUUUAACCCCACAAUCAACACAGGAAAUGUGGGGUAAAAGUGCAGGUUCCAUAGGGGAAUAAUUUAACAGUUAUUUCUGAUCAGGUUAUGUUUGCUGGGCAUCUCUCAGAUCCCAGACUGUGUAAGCCUAUUGCCUGCUUCUCUUUUCAGUAACUUCAAUCCAGGUGAUUUAAAAAAGUACA